UCAAAUUAAUCCGAUAAAGCGUAUUUUUAUACUAAUUAUACUUCACAAACGGGAAUAUUUGUUCUCCGUCAAAACGAAAUUUUUAGUUGGUUUCUCGAGUACACUGUUCGUAUGUGAGUCAUGAGCCAAUCAGAAUGCGUAUUUCGCGUGAGGGACUGCAGUGUUGUAUUUAUUUUCUAGUGUUUUUCUCCGGUCAUCCGGUGACUUUUUACAUUUAAAAAAAUUCGUCGACGGUCGACAAAAAAAUUGAAGAAAAAUUUGCCAAAGAAGAAAUUUGAAACGUAAAUGUUCUAAGUUUGUUAUAUGAAUCGUAAUUCAAGCCAAGUCAUCAUUCCAAAGUUCCAAACCCUUCAGUUGAGUCAGUGGAUUUUUGAAUAUCAAAAUUACAUAGUGAAAUGGAUGUUACGCAGUACAAUACAGUGAAAUCUGCGAAGUUACUUGUACUUUUUCCACCAUAUCGCUUCAUUUCAUAUGGAAACAUCAAUUGAAAAUUGAAAUCUCAAAUCUGUCACCGACCGACCCAUUGUCUUUCCAGAGUCAACAUUGAUUAAUCACUUCUGUUGUAGCAAUUCGUAAUAAGAUGACCAAUUUUCUUCUUUUUUGUUGGAAUUUGAAACAUCGAAACAAAAAUCGAAAUUACUUGUGGAGAAUCGAGUUCAAGAAGAACAACUGAACAACUCAGGCUUGUGUUUGUGUUUUCCACGAAAAAAGGAUUGGUUAAUUUAGGGGAGCGCCGUCAUGAAUCAGCUAUCCAUAGAAAGAGUCUACUCAACUUUCGUUUAUUGAAAUGAAUCGUUGUGUUGGAUUACCUCUCUGAAUCAUAUUGAAUCCUGACAAAGUUUUUUGUACCCAAAAUUGAAAGGAAACACGUCGAUUUUAUAAAAAGUAAUUCAUUUUAUCAAACUAUUUACAAGAUCAACUUAGAAAAAUAAAUACAAACACACUCUCUUUAUUUAAACUUAAUUUUGAUUGUUUUUUUUUCACAGUUAACUUUCUUCACUGGCAGUCUGUUUAUUGGUAUUGGCCAAUGUGCCUGGUUUUCGAGCUGUUAAAUUUCUUCUUCGACUAGCAAGUUGUAAUAAUUUACUUUCUGUUGUUGAUGACACUUCUGCAACAGGCGAUGUAUCUGAAGCUUCACUAUCUACCUUGGGCGACGAUUCAUCUACAUCUUCUUCGACUGGUUUUGAAACUUCGUGUUUCUCUUCUUUUGGCUCUUCCGCAGGCGGUGGUUGUUUCUUC